CGUCGUCAUCGAUUAGAUGAGCGCAUCCCCCCUUGCUAGUUGCCAGCGUGGUUUGAUUGGGGAGUUCUUGACAUUUUUUCUUUGCAUCUGUGGAUCAGGUAAAAUGGAUUACGACCAGUGGAGGAGCUCAGCUGAAGCUCGCCGCAGUAAAAAGUUAUGGCAUUCAUUUGAUCAUGUGAUCAUGUGUAAUGAUCAUCUGGUGCUGAGCCACUAAGUAUUGAGCGCACAAAUGUAGUCAAUGUUUCCCUUACUAGGAGCAAUCCUUCUACUUGCCCUAUUGGCUGAAAGGAAUCUCAAGAUGAUGAUUGCCAUAAAGUGUUCAUGGAUGAAUUUGAUCAUAACUGUUUUUCAGAAGGUACUGCUACACUGUUGUUAAGGUAAGGUUGCUGAAUUGUUUAUGAGGGCAGUCUCCAAAGAUUCAAUUUUGUGAACUGUGUAAUCUUGGUAUGUAUCACGUAUGUGAAUCAAUUCUAACGGCAGAAAAAAGGUAAUCACUAUGGUCAAUAUAACUAUUAUAUAUGUAGAUAAAUUAACAUUAGUCUAUAUGUGCAUGUGCACAUGCACCAUUGCUAGUAGAAAGCAAACUGAAGCGUUACAAAAAUUCAGAGAUGGUCUCCACCAUCAGAAGAUGUUCUGAAGAUCAACACAUAUGGCUCGUUCAGAGAGGCGUCACACACAGGAGGAUUGGGCUUUACAAUCCAUACUGAUUGUGGACUGUUGAUGGCCACUGGAGUAGGCAAGUGGCAACCUGGAGUGAGUUGCUGAUCCUCUUCAAGUUGAAGCUCAAGCCAUGCUCCAGGCAGCGAUCACCGCCUCUCAAAUGGGCUGAAAAUGUGUUUUAGAUUAUGAUCCGUCUCCCCCUGGAGUCAUCUGUAGAAAACUAAAUUUCAUUUGCGACUUGGUUUCGAUAAUGUGAAAAUUGUG